CAGCGUCCCAUUGUAGCCUUGACCCGCCCUCCAUUGGUGCCCUGAGCUGCAGGCUCCCCUGGAGAGGGCAGCCAACACAUAGGCACGGCCCUAAGGACAUCAGUGGCUGCUCAGGCCCCACCUGGGAGCAACAGGCCCUUCCAGAGAGGGACCAAGGGGGACCGUGACCUGCCCAGCCGAACCUUGAGGAUGUCGAGGCUCCGCUCCUUCUGUAGCAUCAUCCGCAGCGUGUGCGCCAGGUUGAAGAGGGCCCUCCCCAGCACCUUCCCACCCACUGAUGUGGAUACCGUGGUCAUGUCACUGGCAACAGGAGUGGAGGGGGGCAGCUGGGGAACAGCCCCCUGAGGCCAUUUCCGGACAUCCUGCCCGUAGCCGGGGGGCACCAGAACCUGCAGACAGAAGAUGCAGGUAGGGAGUGAGGGGAGAUGGGAACCAACCUUCAGGGAAUAGCUUAUGCCUUGGAAAGGGCACACACAGGAGGUGACGCAUACCUGCCCGUCGAUAUAGGCGACCUCCCCUCUCAGGACCACACGGCGCACGGUGCCCUUCACCUUCUGCCCUUCAAAGGGUGUCCAGCGGGCCUUGGAGAAGGGCAUGUGGCUGGGGACUGUCCACUCGUGCUCCAGAUCCACCUGCCCAGAGAAUCACUGUGACCGCAGGCAAAGGCGGCGCAAGGCCCAGAGCCCGGCCCACCCUGGGCUGGCCAGCCCCGCACCUCCACGUAGGUGUCUUCCUGCGGCGGCAGGUGGAAGAUGCGCCGGGGGUUGUGGUGCAGCCGCUGCAGCAGGUCAUCCAGGCUGAGCCGGCCCUCGCUGACCGCCGUCAGCAGCAGGGGCAGCAUGGUUUCCAGGCCCGGGAAGCCAGGGGGUGCGCUGGGCCCACACUUCUCCUCCAAGGUGUAAUGGAGGUCCCGACCCCCUGGGCCAUCUCACCAUGAUCCGAGGCGAAGCAGUCGAUGACGGCCAUGUUCUCCCACAGGGCCUCCAGGUCCUGACGAGAGCCCAGCUCAGGCCGGACUGCCCCCUUCCCGGGCCCCAGGCGCUCCAGGUCCUCUCGGCUCAGGAACAGGUGGUGAGGGGCCACCUCACAGGUCACUGGCAGCCCGCGGGCCUUUGCAGCUUUAAUCAGCAGGAUCUGGGGAGAUGGGGGAAGACCUCAAAAGUGCCCAUCCUUCCCUUCUCCCUUGGCAGACCAGUGGGUCCUGACCCCACGCCCCUCCCCCGGUGCACCCUCACCUCCUCCUUGCGUGCCACGUGACAGAUGUGCACGGAGCGCUGGGUCAGCUGCGCCACCAUGAGGACGGCUGCCACGCUCUGCCGCUCGGCGUGGGCCACAAUGGGGAGGUGGGGCGGCCACGUCUCGAAGUGCUAGGGCAGAAAGAUGUGUAAGGGCGCAGGCAGCCUUUCGCUUGGGAGAGCCCAUGGCCCCCCACCACACGCCUGUCCCACCUCCAUCCACUGGGCCACACUGUCCAGCCGCAGCUCGGAGAAGGUCUCAUUGAGAUAGAGCUUCAGCCCGGCAGCUGCGCCUGCCACGGCGCCUAGGGUCCCUGCGUUCUCAGCCGAGGCCCCGAGGAAUAGGGCGAAGUCACAGCGGGCACCAGCUUCUGCCAGCUGGAGAGGACGCAGGCGGUGAGGCCCACCCACUCCUGCACCACCGGCCCGGGAGGCAAGGGUAGAUGGCAAGGUCUCUGAUGCCAGGAAAUCGGAGCGCCCGGCUCACCUUCUGGGCCAGGGCCAGCGCGGGAGCGUCUGUGAUGGGGGGCCUGGUGUUGGGCAUGGCACACACCAUGGUGACACCCCCGGCCAGGGCAGCAGCGGUGCCUGAGGCGAAGUCCUCCUUGUGUGUACCCCCUGGCUCCCGAAGGUGCACGUGGACAUCCACCAGGCCUGAGGGGACGGGGAAGGAUGAGAGGAUGUGGGCCCAGGGGCACACCAGAUUAGCAACAACUGAUGCCAAGUGAACGGCAGCCGGGUCCCUCAGCCACGGGCAUUCACGCAGGGAACCUCUGGGGCCCCACAGCCGCCUCGGCACGGCGCCAUUUGGCACACUCACCAGGCAGUCGCACAAGCUUCCGGGAGGUCAUGCAGUCCACGUGUACCUUCAGAGGAGGGGCUGGUCCAAUCUGGCCGAGGGCCUGCAAGUGGAAACCAGUCGUGUUGAGGGAUGGGGAGCCUGGGUGUUACAGGGAUUCCUAGCUCCCUACACCCACAAAGCCAGUCUGGCUCUUGGCCCAGCUGCUUCAGACUGCCCGGCUCCAUUACCUCCACAAACAGCUUCGUGCAUUUGAUGUCGAUGAUGAGGGGCACAGAGAAGUCUGCAGCCAGGCGCCGGGUGCGGUAGCCCUUGGUGACGAAGGAAGAGAGCCUCCGGCCUCCAGCCCCGCGCAUCGACAGGUUUAUCACCAGCUCAAAGUGGUUCUCAGCCAGCUGCUCCAAGAUGCUUCGCUGCGGUGGGCACUCCCCAUCCACCGCCUCCUCAAAGUGCCAGUCCACGGCCGUGACCUGCGGGCCCAAGGGCAAGGUCAGUCUGACACAGGUUAGGGAGGCCUGAAGGGAGGGGAGACUGAGGGCCCACUGGAUGGCAACCAGGGGGGCUGCCUCUUAGUGGGCACAGGGUUGAAAACACUGUUGGCAAAAUAAAUUUUUGAGAGGAAAAAUAAUAAAAUUGGCUACCAUGG